GAGCCGGCCGAGGUAGAGUGGAGAAGAAGGCUGCCUUGGCUGGGUGCAGGCGGCAUCUUCUGCACCAGGUGGAGGACAGGCAGCUUUGCACAACUGAACAUCCCUGAGCCAGCCGGCCUCUGAGCAUCUUGCGCUGGCAGUGCCGGGCAAAGCUCCCGGGAGGGGAGGCUGCCUGGCAUGGAGGGGGCAUUGAUAAAAUGGCAGCCCCUGUCCUUGGCUCCGUUAUGCUUACAGGCUCCAAAUGGCCUUUAUCUCGGUCCUCGCAGCCUGCGCCAGUGCAGAGAGAGAAAUGGGCGUCCUACCAGCUGCCGGGAACUCAGGAAUGGGGAGGCAGAGGCGGAAGCAGAGGCUCCAGUUGGUGGAGGCAGCAGAAACCACACUGCUCAGCUUCCCGGGAGGGAAAGGUUCGGGACCUGGCACUUGCAAACCCUUCACACGUAGGGCUAGGUUCACCACAGGUUGAGACACACCAGGAUGGAGACCCACUGGACCAGAAGGGGUCACCUGCAAGGAAUGACACGCUGGAGAGCACUGGUGAGAAUGAAAAUGGAAGCAUUUCCCUAUUUCCCCUGCCCCGCCUAGCCCCCAGCCCCUGGCAAUCAGUAAUCUACUU
rnacentral:lncRNA from 1 species